GACGAACGCUGGCGGCGUGCUUAACACAUGCAAGUCGAACGGAAAGGCCCUGCUUGCCGGGUACUCGAGUGGCGAACGGGUGAGUAACACGUGGGUGAUCUGCCCUGCACUUCGGGAUAAGCCUGGGAAACUGGGUCUAAUACCGGAUAGGAGCCAUUUUUAGUGUGAUGGUUGGAAAGUUUUUUCGGUGUAGGAUGAGCUCGCGGCCUAUCAGCUUGUUGGUGGGGUAAUGGCCUACCAAGGCGGCGACGGGUAGCCGGCCUGAGAGGGUGGACGGCCACAUUGGGACUGAGAUACGGCCCAGACUCCUACGGGAGGCAGCAGUGGGGAAUAUUGCACAAUGGGCGCGAGCCUGAUGCAGCGACGCCGCGUGGGGGAUGACGGCCUUCGGGUUGUAAACUCCUUUCGCUAGGGACGAAGCUUUUUGUGACGGUACCUAGAGAAGAAGCACCGGCUAACUACGUG
rnacentral:rRNA from 1 species